rnacentral:tRNA from 1 species
GCGCCCGUAGCUUAAUGGAUAGAGCAUCACGCUUCGGACGUGAGGGUUGGGGGUUCAAGUCCCUCCGGGCGUA